rfam:Capsicum annuum cultivar Zunla-1 chromosome 5, whole genome shotgun sequence
AACCAUUAAAGUGAGGCCUAAAGAUCCUUUAGACCUUCAAAAUUCAAAGCUAGAUAUGCCAGAAAAGUUACCAAGGGAAGAACAAGCUUGCGUUAGCUAAGAACUUAGAGCGACGUUGUUUUUUUAUUAUUCGAUGUCGGCUCUUCUUAUCACUGUAAAGAAGAAUUCACCAAAUGUUGGAUUGUUCACCCACCAAUAGGGAACGUGAGCUGGUUUUAGUCUGUCGUGAGACAAGUUAGUUUUACUCAACUAAUGAUAGUGUCACAAUUGUAAUUUAACCUAGUAAGAGAGGAACUAUUGAUUCACAUAAUUGUUCCUCGUUCUUGGUUGAAAACCAAGUGGUGCGAAGCUACCGUGUGCUGAAUUAUGAUUGAAUGCAUCUAAGUUAAAUCUGAUCUAGUAAAGAUGUAUGUGCAUGUCGUCCUCUUGUCUACCCAUUGUAGGGGCCUCAGCCCCAAGGACACGUGUCAUGGGCAAAGCCACCAUGGUGGAAGGGUCGUAGUGGCUGACUUAAAGCGUAAUUUCUAUUGAACGGUGGGUAGAAUCCUUUGUAGAUGACUAAAAUAUGCAACCGGGUAUUGUAAGUGGUAGAGUAGCCUUGCUUCCAUGAUCCACUGAGAUUCAGCCCUUUGUCGCUCUGACUU